UUACUUCAUUGCAUCUCUCUCUCUCCUUCUCUCUCACACACACACAUACACACAAAUGGCGAAUCAACAACAGAUAUCGAGUAAGCCACGAUUCCUCGAUGCAAUACCUUUAUUAGCAGCAAUCUUAAUCGUCGCUCAUGUCCUCGCUCUGGUCUACUGGAUUUACAGAUUAGCUAAAACUGAGAAACAAACGAUGAGGAGAAAGGAACACUAGAAG